GAAAUUGGGAGGAGAAAUAGAAGGAUGGCCAUACAGCUCCGCCGGCCUUCAGCAGCAGCGACGCCGCCGGAAUCUCUAGAGAGGUGGCCGAGCCUCCGAAAUCGAAAGAGGAGAGGAAGAUGCAAGCUCGGUUUCAUGAGGGAAUCGAAGGCGGACAAGAGAGAGAAGAGCGCCGGACUCAGGCGCGGCGACGGCCGACG
rnacentral:lncRNA from 1 species